UACGUAGGGUGCAAGCGUUGAUCGGAAUUACUGGGCGUAAAGGGCUCGUAGGCGGCCAACUAAGUCAGACGUGAAAUCCCCAGGCUCAACCUGGGAACUGCGUCUGAUACUGGAUGGCUUGAAUUCGGGAGAGGGAUGCAGAAUUCCAGGUGUAGCGGUGAAAUGCGUAGAUAUCUGGAGGAAUACCGGUGGCGAAGGCGGCACCCUGGACCGACACUGACGCUGAGGUGCGAAAGCGUGGGGAGCAAACAGG
rnacentral:rRNA from 1 species